rnacentral:rRNA from 1 species
UGCAGUCGAACGGAAGUUAGAGCUUCGGUUUUAACUUUAGUGGCGAACGGGUGAGUAACGCGUGAGGAACCUGCCUUUCAGUGGGGGACAACAGUUGGAAACGACUGCUAAUACCGCAUGAUGCUUUUGGGAGACAUCUCCUGAAAGUCAAAGCUUUAUGUGCUGAAAGAUGGCCUCGCGUCUGAUUAGCUAGUUGGUGAGGUAACGGCUCACCAAGGCGACGAUCAGUAGCCGGUCUGAGAGGAUGAACGGCCACAUUGGGACUGAGAUACGGCCCAGACUCCUACGGGAGGCAGCAGUGGGGAAUAUUGGGCAAUGGGGGAAACCCUGACCCAACAACGCCGCGUGAAGGAAGAAGGCCUUCGGGUUGUAAACUUCUUUUACCAGGGACGAAGGACGUGACGGUACCUGGAGAAAAAGCAACGGCUAACUACGUGCCAGCAGCCGCGGUAAUACGUAGGUUGCAAGCGUUGUCCGGAUUUACUGGGUGUAAAGGGCGUGUAGGCGGAGAUGCAAGUUGGGAGUGAAAUCCAUGGGCUCAACCCAUGAACUGCUCUCAAAACUGUAUCCCUUGAGUAUCGGAGAGGCAAGCGGAAUUCCUAGUGUAGCGGUGAAAUGCGUAGAUAUUAGGAGGAACACCAGUGGCGAAGGCGGCUUGCUGGACGACAACUGACGCUGAGGCGCGAAAGCGUGGGGAGCAAACAGGAUUAGAUACCCUGGUAGUCCACGCUGUAAACGAUGAAUACUAGGUGUGGGAGGACUGACCCCUUCCGUGCCGCAGUUAACACAAUAAGUAUUCCACCUGGGGAGUACGACCGCAAGGUUGAAACUCAAA